GCUCGUCCAUCCCCAUGCCCCGAUACCUUUUUUUCGCCCAAGCAAAUUGACGGUCACCGCCGCCGCACCUCUCGCCGCUGGCCACUGCCGUUGACGCCAACCUCCCCCAAGUCUCUGAUGUCUCCACCGAUAGCGCCGCUUCCGACCAAUCCUACGAGGCCAGAGCGCCACCUCCGGGCUUCUCCCAUCCCUGAUCUGGAGAACCAACCUCUUCUCCUCCCUCCACCCCGAUCUGGCAGCAACACCGGGAGAUCGGCGCGGCGCGGCGCUGGCGAGGGGAGGCCCUGCAGAUGAGACGAUGGUGGAGGUAAGUAAAGUCGAUGGAGCUUGGGCGCGGGGUGGCCAAGGAUGCCGUCGCUUGUGCUCCAAUCCACUUGCCAUCUGUAGCUCGUACUAGAAUUGGUUCCGUGCGCCAAAAAAUCCCGUUGCAAAAAGGAGAUCCGCAUGCGAUGCUGGACAUGUUGUGCUACUCCAUUUGAUCCAAGCUACUUCAGCCGUGAUUGAUUUUGGUGGCGGACUGGGAGGAGACAAACAAGGAUGGCAAAAACAUUAAGAUGAAAUAGGAAAAACAAAGUUGUUAGGAAAAGAGAAGCGCAACAAACAAAAACAUUGAUCUUGGACCAGCUGAGUGAUCAAGGUAGUGUGAUUUACAGUUGAUAAUUCUUUUACCCAAAGCACCGACAUGAUCGAGACACUGGUUGUCCUGGUUGCCAUAUAACAUGUGCAUUAUAGUUAGUCCAGUUGGGCUACACGGCUGUUUGAGGAAAACCAUAAGCAAUUGAGUUCUUUAUCAGUAGUCAUGCAGAAUUAGUGUGAAAUAUACAGUUUAUUUUUCAAGAUUAUUUUGCAGUUGUACCAUCAAUUAUUUGUUAAUGUGCUUUUUCCAGUGGAAACAGUCGUUCGAAACGAGCAGUAUACGAUUGCUGCAACCCAAUUAUCUUAGAUUCUACCUUUGUCUAAUGUUCUUAACCUUUAUAUGCUUCUUAGAUACUACCUUUGUUUGAUGUUCCUAACCUUUAUAUGCUUCAGUACAGAGAAAUCUUUGGAACUUGACAAGCCAAGGUAUGAUAAGAGCAGAUUAUUACUUCGUUCUCAUCCAGCAUCCUCUUUACAUAUCAAUAUUCGAGCGGUAGUUAUUCCAUCAUGUUACAUUACUAUUGCAUUCAUAUUUUUAUGACUAGCCAGCCCUUUCUAUAGUUUUCUCAAAAAAAAUAUUCAUGCGUUUUUAUAGUAGUAAAUUUUUUUGGGCGAUGCAAUGUAAGUUAUGUUAUUUCUAUGCCUAAGUGCUAUUACCAGCAAUUGAUUUUUCUGGCAAGGGAAUGUUGAGAUGAUAGCUUGAGCCUCUGUGCCACAUUUUGAAAACUCUAGACUUAUCUUUUACUAAUUUUAAAAUUGGUAAACUACACAUCGACCCCUAGAUACCUAUCAAACUGUAUCUGUUGAUUCAUUUAGCUGUAUUAUUGUUUGGUUCGUGGAAACUGUCAUUUUCUCCAUCCGUAGACUUCGUAAUUGGGCCUUUGUUAAAAGACGGCGUAAGGGCGAGUUGUGGGGAUAUUCACCGCAAUAUCUGCAAGCAGGAAACUACUUUGCUCACCUACCCUUGAACUGGAACUACUAAUUAGAAAAUAUGCAUUUCAUGUGUCAUUUUGCCAUUGAGCUAAAUUAUGUUAUUUUCAUUCGCCUCCCCUCUUCGAGCCGUCGCUGUAUUGGGCCUCACAUGGCUUCAAGGCCUGUUUAGGCAUCUGUUGUAGAAGAAAAUGCUUCUGUUUUUUUGUCGGUCGUCGGCAUCGGGUUAGUCAGUUGUCCAAUUUGUAAUAUCGCCCGUGGAUGUUGAAGAAUACUCGACCACCCGUGUUGACUUUCAACUCUCAUUAAUAAAGAUGAAGCCCCGCGAGAUCGUUCAUGAGGCGAGACAAACCCGCUGACAUCCCCACCCCCACGUCCUACACGCUUGCAGCCCACCGCCUUGGCUGCUAGCCACAAGUUGGGCAUGCAGCCGUGCACUAGGGGAGCGCCCGCGUAGGAGACAACGAUGCCGCCGCUGACAUGGCCAAUGUGGAUGUGCCCCGAGUAGGUCCAAGGCUAGCGAGGUAGUGCUCAGAGCCAACACCUGCUCGAGCCCCCUGAUGCGGACUACCUUGACAGAGCACAUGGUUGGCUUGUCGUCGAUGCAUCGUGACCCGGUGAACUCUUGAAUCCCACACUAGGAAUCCAUCAGUGGCUAAUGUUCCAUGGAAGGUAAAAAUCCAUCUUUGGCGUAUUUUGUUUUCAGAGUAUUGAUGUUGGGGAUGAGCCUAAGAGGAGAAAGAUUAAUGAUAUGGUAGAAAGUUCCUUUCUCACCAGUUUUUCCAGACUGAGAACAAGAGAUAGAGGGCUGACCGGGGGCGAUGACAGCUGGUGUCGUGGCCAAGUGUUGACAAGGCAACUGACGAUCAUUGCCGAGCACUGGGGAGGUUGCCGGUGCCAUGGUCGAGUGCUUGGGGGAUGGCCAUGGUGGACGAGGGAGAGCAACCAGUACGGGGAGAGACAUAGAGAUGUGAUUCUUUCGUUACGUCCAUGGCAAGGUUCCAUGAGAUGGCACCAAAUUUUUGGGAGGAUAUAUACACUGAUUGUGGCUGAGAAGAAGAUUACUGCUCCUGCGAUUUUGUAUGUUGCGUGAGAGAGGAGAAAUGGGGCAAUUUGUUUGAUAUGAUUUAUGAGCGGAUGCUUUACUUUUGUACAGGGAUACGCUUCAUGUCCGGCUGAUAUAUGGUGUUCUAUGCUCUACUGUGUGCUCUGCUUGUGGAAAUUUGUACAUGGCAAUACAUACAUCGAAAUUGAGAUUUGGAGCAA